AAAUAAUUAGUGUUGUGUUCAUUUCCUUUGAUUUGUUCAGGUUACCCUGAUAAACAGAGAGCUAAACUUCCUGAAUUAUCCAAAUUUGGGCGCCCUGCCAAAAUGCGGAGCUCAUCUUGGUGGAUUCGAUUUUUUGUCCAAACCAGCUUAGAAGAAAAUGAUGCUGCCAUCAGGAAGUUUGAGCCGGCUGCAUCCAAGAGGUCAUACCAACCGAGCUGUCAAUUGUUCCAUCUCAAGUCCUACAAUUAAUAUCAGAAUCACGAAAUUUUAAUUCCUUCACUAUUUUUUUCAUGCGACAAGGCCACAAGAAAAAUGGGAAAAGGUUAACCUGGCAUAUAAAAUGUACUCUGCUAGGUCGGUAUGUUUGCUACAAGAAAAGUUAAAAAGGAUAUCAACCAUUGGCCCCUCUGUCAACCUUAUAGUCGAUGUUUACUUGAUUUUGAUGAUGGAAAAUAUAGGCUGAAAUGUAUGACGCUUUAAAUUAUAUUUUUACAUGACAUGAAUUUGGUUUUCCUGUUA